UGAACUGCAGGGCGCUGCCAGACUGACGAAGGACGACAUCGAGAAGGUGUUUUCGCUAUACGACAGGGACAACAAUGGAUCCAUCGAGAAUGAAGAGCUUCGCGGCUUCCUGAAAGACUUGCUAGAGCUUGUCAAAAAGGACUACGACGCGCAGGACCUGAACGAGUUCGAGGAGACCAUCCUGCGAGGGGUCGGCUAUGACAAAGAAGGCAAAAUUUCCCGCAAAGAGCUGACCAUGAUCUUGCUAGCGCUCGCAAAACAACCCCCAGAGGACGACCAGUAAUAUGGGGAAUGCACUUCUCUCGUUUCGCACCAGCCGCCGCCGCCGUUGCAUCGAUCGUCCUCCAGUCACCACCACCGUCGUCUGUCCAGAGCCGGUUCGCUAACAUCGGCCCUGGCAGUGCAUCCCAUUGCCAAGCUGCGUACGAUGCUCGGUCUAGGGCACCAGCAUAGUCAGCAUGGCAACGGGUCCACCAGCGCUGGCAGCAGCAACUGUCCCGACAACGGUCACCCAACGGAACCAUCGACUUCGGCGUCGGCGUCACACUCCAAUGUAGAAGAACCACCCCUAGCAGCAGAAGAUACCGCAAGUAGUUCAGAGCAACCGCAACAGCUUCUGCCGGUAGUCGUCGUCCACGAUCGAGUCCGAGACUUCUAUCGUCGGAUCAUGCGACGCGGCAAGAAGGAGUAGAUCCAGUAGAUCACACAAGCACAUCCAAACAAUUACAAACACCAAACACGCGCAUUAGAUCUAUGCAACAGUAGGUCAGUUCCGAGAUCUGAUCUCCACCAAAAACCAUUUAUAAGAAGCUGAACGAAUAUUGAAGCAAAUUUGCGUCUGGAAUACCUACCACGCGAAAUACCAGGGGGUUUGAAACAUUAUUGGCGAAUCGAUCGAGGAGAACAAACAAAUUUCUGUAAAAUUAAGGAUCAUAAAACGAAGAUGACUGGGCUGUUUGAUUCACAGCAACCCAGUAAGUGCCCUGAACAGUGCACAAUUCAAUCCGUCUUAUGAAAAUUGUCUUUUUCGGGAUCCGAGAUCCAGAAACACAAAACAAAACAAAAAGUAAAAAGAUGAACAAAGUCCCAAUUCAAGCUUCGGCCCGCAUAUAACUAAAAUUUGUCUUUCAGUCCCUUCGUGGUUCUCAUAUCACUUUUCUAUGCACUCAGAUGGAACUAUAGAAUUGCUUGACGCUUUUAUUUGUUAUCGUUGGUCGAACCGAUUUCAUGUCUUUUGUGAUCCAUUCUGAAUCUGGAACUUUUAAAUCAGCAAUAUUUCGAGAUUGUAGGAAUUUUAGUUGUAGGGAUGAGGCGUAGUGUCAAAAUUGGCAAAAAACGGGACCUUUUAGUUUUAUAACAAUCGUCCGAAUGACAUUAUUUGCUCGAAUACCAUUAAUCCGAAUGAAACAAAUACCCCCGAAUAGACAUCGACAGAAAUUGACUAUUGAUCUGAAUGGCACAAAUAGGUACAGUACUCGACCUACAUCGCAUAGCCAAUCAUUUGCCUAAAAAUUUCUUGGAAUUAUCAAGAAAUGAAUGACUACUUCCUAUUAAACAGUAUUUCCUCUGAGCAGUGCACAAGAGUAUAUCUACAACGUCGCUACAUCUAUGCUUGGAGUAUUUUGGAGCUUUAUAAUCGUCGUGACUUUAUAUGUACUUCAAUUAAAUAUUGUUCAUCAAAUUCUUUCUUCCUAUUUUCACACUACGACCUCCAAAAUUUGCCGCGUUUUACACGAUAUACAAUUUUGUUCUUUUUGUACACUGGACAUAGCUCAUGAUUUAUGCGCCUGUGCCAUGCAUCAUUUCCUGGCUUCUCUUCCACGCUUCAUAUCCGUAAAGGUAGACCGGGAAAAAUACAUUUGCCCAUCAGCAUCUGUUACUUAAUCCGUGGGGCGUGGGGCGCAUUUGAGGAUGGAGAGAUGCGGCCUCGAACCGUGUAUUGUGGCGUCAAAUUGUUGAUUCAGUGUUUUCUGUUUAGAUGUAAACUAAAUAAAUGAAAAUGAACAUAAUCCGUAGAGAACCCAAAUUUCACAGGAUCAGGAAAUGUUAUUGUUAAACGUGAAACAAAGUCAAAAGUGAGGGCACAAAGUUCAUCUGGAAUAUUAUAAUACCUGAUUAUCGCCAAAAAAUUAAACGUGCAUGUCAGUUUGUCAGAAAACUAGCGCGAGCAGAGUGCUGUAGAAAGUUUUAUCCGUUCCGUUUAGUAAAAUGCCGAAAGAAAUGUGAAAAUUGGGUCUCGAUCGUCGGUUCAAUAUGUGAUAUAGAACUGAACCACUUCAAACUGCUUCCAGGAGAGAGACUGUAAGUCGAAGCAUAUUGACCGUCACAACUCCAUUAUUAUUGCUGACAGCAAGGUCAUAGUUGGCAAACCUCUUUAGGUCAGUCCGCAAAUAGUUAAGAAAGGGCGCCAUAUUCUCGAACGACAAGUUUAGCAUUGUGAGAUUGGAUGGGCUGGUUAGAGUAUGGCGCAAACCGAAUAGAAAAUUGAAUCCAAAAAACAGCGACCGAGUGUCAAGCACGAAGGUGGUCAUCAAUAUGGCGCCGGAAGUGGGUGGGACAAGUAGAACAUGUCCUAGGAAUGAAUGUCUCUGGGUGGGAUAGUCGAAGCAAUGUCCUACCCAUGAUCAUGGGUAAGCGCGUAUCAUAUGGAUAAAUAGGGGCUUAUAUUCUGCUUAGCGUAGGAAGGGGAAUUACUUUUCAAAAUUUUGACGUCAGGAAAAGAAAACUCGAACGAUGCCAACUUUUACAAUUACUUUCAGAAAAAAUAUAACAGAAUCGGGUCCAUUGAAUGCUGAGGAAAAAUAUAUCAGGAAAUUAAUCCAUUCAAAUUCGUGCUUUAAAUAUUUGACCGAUCCAUUCUGGCACACUGAUACUUAAUGGGCUACAGUUCCUCGGCAGCCUCUUCCACGGCACGGCGAUCAAUCCUGAUAAUAUCGAUAUCGUCCGCAAAUCCCAGGAGCAUAUGCGAUCUUGUGAUAAUGGUCUUGCUUCUUUGCACACCAGCUCUCCUAAUCGCUCCCUCGAGUGCUAUAUUGAACAGUAGAUUCGAGAGUGCAUCACCCUGCUUUAAUCCAUCUAAGGUAACAAAUGACGUCGAUAUUUCAUCCGCAACCCUUACACUUGAUUUCAAUCCGUCCAACGUUAUACGAAUCAGCCGUAUUAGUUUCGCCAGAAAACCAUGUUCAAGCAUAAUUUGCCAUAAUUCAUUCCGUUUCACUGAAUCGAACGCCGCCUUGAAAUCAAUAAUCAGAUGAUGUGUCUGCAAGUUGUACUCCCGGAAUUUAUAACAUUUGAUCUAUCGUUGAUCGGCCCUCACGAAAACCUGCUUGGUAUUCGCCGACGAAGGACUCUUCAAGCGGUCUCAAUCUGUUGAACAGAAAAAGGGACAAAAUUUUGUACGCAGAAUUAAGGAGGGUUAUUCCUCGGUAAUUGGCGCACUCCAGUCUGUGUCCUUAAUUGAAGAAAGGGCAAAUAAGGCCGUCCAACCAGCUAGCAGGCAUUUCCUCGUGUUCCCAUAUUUUCGACAUAAUAUGGUGGAGAACUUCAUAAAGCUCCUCACUGCCUUAUUUGAGAAGUUCAGCCGGGAGCUGGUCCUUCCCCGCAGCCUUUAACAGCUUUUUUAACCUCAUCUAGUGUAAGCGACUCCACAGCUUGUCCAUCGUCGCUAAUAUUUAUUCUGCUCACCAAUGCACCGUCACUUCCACUAUCCAACAAAGUCUCGAAGUAUUGUUCCACCUGGCAGCCACUUCGGUUUCUGUCUGUCAGCAAAUUCCCUUGUUGGUCGUUGCACAUGACGGGUGAUGGCGCUGUCUUUCUCCGCACGCCAUUUACAGACUCAUAAAACCUCCGCAUAUCGUUCUGCUCCAUUUUUUUUCCUGCGCAUCGCUAAUCACUAGUUCUUCAUAUUCUUUCUCCUUCCUGCGGUGUGAUCGUUUUUUGGCUGCUCUUGCUUCCUUGUACUGAUCUCUAUUCGAUCGGGUACCCGACACCAACAUCCGGCUUCUGGCAACGUUCUUCUCGUCUGUCACUCUCUGACACUCCACAUCGAACCAACCCGUCCUGGGUCACCUCUGUGCAGUGCCUACCACUUCUCGUGCUGUAGUGCUCACCUCUCCAUGGAUCGACUCCCAUUGCACUUAUCCGUUCUUCGAGCUUCUGGCGGUACUCAGCCGAUACUCCUUCCGCCGAGAGUUGUAGAAAAACUGUCGCACUAGAAGUCCACCAUACAACACGUUUUGAAAUUAAGCCUCUGUGGUAAGUUAUUGACAAACUACUAAAUGAUCGAUAACAUCCUUGCAGGAGUCACAAGCUUCCACAAGCAAGACCAUUCUAGAAUGUAUAGUUUUUAAAAUCAUAAACCACUCUUCGGAAUAUUUUUUUGUGAUGCUCGUUCUUUAUGGCAUUAUUAAUUUACUCUAGGAUGGCAAAAUCUCUACCAAACACAAUAUUUCAAUGCUUUUAUAAAACCACGCUCAGCCAAGAUGACCAGGGUCUAUCAGUUAUUCCAAGAAGAAAAGACGUUGAUGCCAUGCGGCCCACUACCACUUGCGACGACUGUCCGUGAAGUGAUUGUGAGUUUUUUAUUGUAUUUGCGGAAAACCCAAAAGCUAGCGGACCAUAGGAUUGCCGGAUAGUCUCUUCUGUCCUCAGUUGGUCAAGGCUGGAUUACAAUAGCGCGUUGCGCUGAGAUCGCGUCGACCCGUUGUUUUGAAAAUAUCAAUUUCCUCAUCGACCAUUCCUCUAGAAAUUCCUUCAGAUAUUUCUCCGGAAAUUCCUUUAGGAACUUCUCCAAGAAUUAUUUCAAGACUUCCUUGCGGAAUUGCUCUGAAAUAGCUAGUGGGAGUUCCUCCAGGAGCUUCUCAAAGAGUUUUUUUCCAAGAGCUCCUCCGGUAAUCCCUCCAGGAACUACACAGGGAAUUCCUGGAGGGUAUUUGGUAGGAAUUUCAUGGGAUGUCCAAAUGGGAUUCAUGGGAUUCCUCCAGAAAUUUUUCCGGUAGUUCUUCAAGAAAUUCCUCCAGAAGUUCCACCGGCAGUUCCUCCGAGAAUUCUGCUGAGAAUUUCUCCGGGAAUUCUUCCAGAAGUUCCCCCGGAAAUUCCUCUUGGAGGAAUUCUCGCAGGAACUCCGGGAGGAAUUUCUGAAGAAACUUCCGGGAGAAUUUUCAGAGGAGCCUCCGCAGGAACUACCAGAAGAAUUCUCGGAAAAAUCUUGAAACCUUUGUAGGGGUAUGUGGCUGGACCAUCAGAGGACCUCCGACCUCCGAGUAAUUCUCUGAGAUGUUUCUGGAGGAAUUCCUCUAUAAAUUCCUGAAGAAGCCUAAAUGAAUUUCAGAAAAAAAAAACUGAAUGAAUUCCUGGAGGAAAUUCCCAGAAGAAUUUUCAGAGGAACCCCCGUAGGAACUGCCGACAGAACUACCGGAAUACAUCUCGGAGGAAAUCCUGGAGGAAUUCUUGAGGGAACUGCCAGUGGAAUUCCUGUAAUAAUUCCAGGAGGAAUUUCCAGAGAAACUCUUGGAGAUCUCCCAGCUGCCCCCACCUACUUGAAAUCCUGGCUACGCCCAUGAAAACAAAUGUGAACUGUAAGGUUGACAGAUUUGGCUGCCAGUGUGUCCCUGAUGCUGCAGGAUAUUUAGGUUUUCUCCCGCAAGGGAUUUGGUAGACAGCGGUGUUAUUGGCCCUGCCCUUCAUUUGUUUCCCCAGUCCUGGCUGGCGAUGCUUUUGUUCCAUGCUUUCACGUCAGUCGCCGGAAUUGAGGUGGAGAAAUGUCAAACAGAGUUAAUAAAACUAUAAAUAAAAACUUACAAAAAUCUUUAAAGUUUGUGAUAGUUGUUUGCAUGUUUGGAUAGAUUGUAAGAAGUAUUCUAGGGCAGGAUUCAUUGAAUUCGUAAGAAACUGAUAACAUUUGAAUAAAUAAAAUUUGAUAUCAAUAAUAUUCUAAAGAAAUUAAAAAAUCCUAAAAGAUUAACGUUUAAGGACAAACUUUACGGAAUCCAUUUUUUUUAACCUCGCGAUUUCAAGGGCACCACCAAGAUGAAUACACAGCUAGGUGUUUCAAUCUGCCCAGUUUAUGGGCGAGAAGAAGGCGGGGGUGAAAAAUUCAUUUUCGGUGCAAUACAUAAACAAAACGGCUGGCUCUCCCAUACUAAAAUCCAAGAUGGCUGAAUCGUGAAUUUGGUAGAUUGGAACACCUAGUGGUGUAUUCAUCUUGGGCACCACUAUCAAUACUGAGCACCUGUCAUCUUUUUGUUCUACGCUUGCUGCUUCUUUGUUUUAUAUUGGUGCCUCUGAACAUGCGAGGUAGUAUUUUUUGGCUUCUGGACAGUUUCACCUUAAGAACGAUCUAAAGAUAUAAAAGUUAAAGAACAAAAUUUCAAAAGUUAUUGGAAUUGUGAUUUAGUUUUUUGGUAGGAAUUUCUGGAUUUGGAUCCGCAUAACCAACCAUUUCUGGAAAUCAUGAGAAUUCCAAGAUGUAUGUCAUGCUUCUGUCACGUAAUUCCUAAUAAAUCCUUGAAAUGAAACAUUUAUCCUGAAAAUAGUUAAAUUAAAUCCUGUGAAUAUUCUGGAAAUAUUGCUUGAAGCCCUCAAGAAUAUUAAUUAACCACUUAAGUGGUUUCCUAGAAAUAAUUUUAACAGAAUUGAUUGCAGGUAGGUGGUGAACCGAUUUCUCCUCAGCAAAACUGUUGCUCGAUCCGGCAUUUUUUUAUUCGAUCGACUUUUCUUUCCUUGGCCACCAGCAUCUCGGAACGAGGACGCGUCUCUGGUGGCCAUAUUCUAAAUUUUGGUGCUUUUCGUGCAAAUGGCGACGGAAACCUGACGUUUAUUGAAACAACCAUUCCAGUAUCUGAUAGAUGAUGGCUUAACUUGUCGGGCAUAUAGCGUGAUUUUCUCAGAUAGUGCUUAUUUUGAUAGGAAUUUACAUUUUAAACGUUUGUUGACAAAUUAAACAUGAACCAAAUCGCAAAUUACUCAGGAAAUGUCAGAGGCGAAAAACGUCCGCAUUAGAAAUUAGAAGGUUGUAUCUGAGACACGACCGCCAAUUGGGCGCACACUUCCGAAUAUGUUUACUGACGCUGAUCUAAGGCUGCUGUGACCGGCGCCGUGAGAUCUCAAUGUAAAUUGAGGAUUUUAUCCCGAAUGUUAAGCCUACGUAGAUCUCAAUUGGAUAUCGAGAUCUUAAUUGAGUAGCCAAGAUCUAUUCAUUUGAUUGACUUUUAGUGGAUAUAAUGUCAGUUUGAAAAUUUGCCUUGUAUCAAUUUAUGGAGUCAUCUUUAGCUAAAUUUUUCAUUAUUCCGACCACCAGUCAUUCAAAUGACGUGUAUUUCAAUUGACAGGAUAAAAUCUUUUAAUUCAAGAGAUUAACUGAUCAACGGGGAUGGCAUGGAAAAAUAAAGGGGCAAAAAAUGGCUGACUAGAUUUACUAUUCGGCGUUCAAAUUCAUGAGACGAAAUUUAUUAGCACUGGUUAUGACAGCUAUCGAAUACAUCUUUGCCAUUGAAGUGCUGUCAUCAGGCGUCCCCUGCGACUUUACUGUAUCAUUUAUUUUUUAAAGAAUGAAUAUGGAUUUAUUUCACUAGACGUCAUGCAUUAUUUGCGGUUGUGUUUGUAUUUUUUUUAAUGUUUUGUUUAUUUGAGAGGCUCAUUAGCCGUAAAGCGCUACGGAGCCGAAAUCAUGUUUCUAGUACAAUUUUAAUCUUGAUUCUUAUAAAUAAACUCGCGGUUUGGUCGAGGUUAGGGAAUACAAUAAUACAAAGGGAAAGGAGGGGGAUUUAAGGUGACUCGGGGAAGCACUACACACCGUGUUAUUUUUCCUAUCUUUUGUCUCUUUCUAGCAUUAUCACCUCGUAACUUUGGAGCGGCAUAUUUCCGUUUUUAAUUGUUUGAUGAAACUGUAAAUGUAUCAGCAUGUAGAUGGAGAGUAAGCACGCGCCGCUGAUACAUUUUCAAAAUCAUAUUUGUUGUAGAAAAAAAAUUAAGCAUUCAAUGAUGAAAAUGAUGACGAUUUGAUGAUUGUUUGUGCUUCCCGUAUCCCCUUAAGGUAUUGACUAAUUACGAUUCUAAUCGUUACAUGGAUUAGAUGCUUAACGAUGUUUCAUCUGUAACGGAACAAACAAAUAUUUUCUUGGGAGACAACAAGAGGAAGAAAUACUAGAGGGAAUAACGACAGACAUUGAUGAGCAACAAGAAGAAAACAUUCGUGAUGGGGUACGACAAGGGGACAAUGGUUACAGCCUAACAUCUGCUACUUUCAAGAAUUGGUGGACAAGGGACAUGUAUUCGAGGUCAAGACCCGCCAACACUUCCCUAAUAGGUUUUCGUUGUUUUCCUCGGACCCGGAGAUGUUCUUUUAGCGUAGAUCUGGGGCCACGAUGCUCAUCGCACGCCCACGCGACAUGGUUAAUGUCCGGAUAAUCUGCGCCGCAAACACACUCAGAAAAGAUGUGCGUUUAAAGUUGUGUUUGUAAUAUAGAAAACAUUUUAUGAAUUGUUCAUAAUGGCGGUCCGAAAAAAGAUCGAUUUCUUACGAAGACAAAAUUCAGAUUCAUGUGAAAAAAAUGCACUUCACUGUUUCUGACGCCAACGAAAAACAUUGCACCGGGCCUCUUCGGUGAGCGCUUGUGACAGCCAAAUCGCACCAAGCGCCAAUGAAAAAUUACCCUUUUUCUUGUACAAAUUUCCGUGUAGCAAUUCAUUCAUUCGAUCACAAAUCGUAUUGGAUAUCCUUCUACCCUAUAACUGAGGAUAUCCAACAACGAAUGUACGAAUGAACUGAUAUGAAUAACUAUUAGUUUUCAUUCUACGAGCAAAAUAUCACCCAAAAAGGCGCUUGGUACGGUUUCGCUGGACCCCGACCAUUUGCACUUCGAAAAUUAUUUGUCACAUCUCUUGUGUAAAAUGAUGGUUCUGAAAAGCAUGGAAUUGUUUUCAAUAAUGAGCCUUUUCAAUCAUAAAAGUAACGAAUCUAAAAUCAGACUCGUGAAAAAAAAAUUCACCCAACUGCCAACGUCAGCCUCUUAGUGAUUUGAGACGUCAUCCACGGGAAUAAAUUUUUGCAGUGUUCCCCUAGACGAGGGUUUGCGCUGCUACCGAGACCAAGCGAUUAUGAUUUGCACUUUGAAGAAAGUGCCUCGACCCUGCUGUUUUGCUCGGCAGCACUGACAGCGAACGAAUGAAAGGCGGAGCCAGCGAGCCAACGCAAAUAGCAUCGGCUGCCUGAUCCAUUGCAAUCGGAUACUGGCUAGCUGAGGUCCUGUUUUCGCGACCAAUCGGCAGAACGAAAAAACGGUUGCGACGAUGGCUGCAACGGGCACUACAACAAACGCUCAACAAUCACCGUCCGUCUUCUGCUUCCGGGCGAGCUAGCCAAGCACGCCGUCUUGGAGAGUACUAAAGACGCCACCAAGAACAGCAGCUCCAAGUGAACAAGAACGAGGUCGUAGAUCCACCCAACACGGCUUUCUCCAGAGUCCCAGCCGCGCUCAUAAAAGGGAGGGUUUUCGUACCGAAAAUCAGAUUUGAGAAAGAAAUCCACUUCACUGCUACUAGCCACUCGAUGAUAAAUCGCUGAAACACGUUAGACACCAUUGAACUGCUUCUACCGGUGUCAUCGUUGUGACAGUAGUGUGCAGCCCUCGUGUCCGCUCUCCGUGAAAUCUUGAAUGAGCUGAGAAUUAGAACCCAGUCUGUAAGUUGUACGAUUUUGAUGUCUGUGCUCAUAAUACAUGUACGGGAUUUAUUGGUUUACCGGUUUUAACAUUGGUUGACGAAAAUCCAAUUUCCAAUAGAUUGGCGAUUUUAAAUUAUCGCUGAUAAAAGCUGGACAAAUUCUUAAAGAGUUCGUCUAUCGAUUGAUACCAAAAUCUCCCAAUUCGAUCGGAAGACAGCUAAGAUACUAUUUAGUCUAUAUUUUCCGACCACUUUUCGUGACGGUCCACAUUUGAAUCUACAGAAUGACCCUUCUAUCUUCCCGAAGGACGGAAUCCAAAGUCGAAAAAAUCCAAUGAUAAUAUUUGUAUAGCGUGUUGAGUUCUCUUUGGCCUCAUCAUGGCUCUAACAGAACGUAUCCUUCACGUCGUCAUAUACCCGAUAACCCGUUGUUUGGGCCAUUCUUCUUUCACCGGAUAACUCGCUUCAUUUUUUUCCCGAUCGCCACGAAGGCAACCCCACGAUCUACACUGUUGUCGCCACUGUAGAAGAUAUUGGUACUUUGGGUCAGCGUAUUUGAAAAAUUGUUGCCCUAGCUUACGCCUGCCCGAUCCAGGAGUACUCAUUUUCCAUGAUACGACACUCCUAUCAUUGUCCUUGAUUUGUUGCCGGGUCUAUGGCCGUUGGAUCCAUCACUUUUCUUGGUAACAGAAGAAUUUGAUGCAUCGUUCCUAAAUUUGCAUUGUCAGCAUUGUCUCUGUGGGAGAUGUAAUGUCAACAAAAUGAAAAGAAAGGAAUAAUUUAUUUCGUAUUUAUAAUGAUUACAUAUCAAACGGUUGAAGGCAAAACGAAGAGCUCACUUGAGUAAAAAAAAUUUCGUUUCAUGUUCAUUUCUACUUUCUACUAUACUUUUGGAAACAAAUUUGAACAUAUUUAAAUUAUUUGUUGUUUCUCUAGAACGAACGCCAACUAAGGAUUAUAUCAGUAAAGAAUAACGUAACGUAAUAACGUAAAGAAUAUUAACGCCUCUUCCCUACCCUUGUAACAUUCCAACAUGGACGUCAAUAUCGCACAAUUAUAGAAAAAAAAAUCAAGUUUCCAGAUUUUGAAUGGACCAGACCUUUUCAUUUCUUUUUAUAUUGAUUUUUUUUUCUUCGAAACCUAAUAUCUAUUAAGUCUAUUUAAAAAAAUCAGUAAUGUAUUAAUUCACUAAAUCAGCAAAAGUUAUAAUAAUUUGUAAUGUGUUUCUUUUUGAUUACCAAUUUCCAUGUGCUGCUCACAAAAAUAUGCUAUGAGGUUUUGCCUAUUUGGCCCAAAUUUCCUAUUUAUAAGCUAAAUAAUUUCUGUUUUGUGUUAUACAUUGCAUUUUUAUGUACUAAGAAUUUACUUCAAAUGAAUAAUAAAGAACGAACCAAGCGACGGUGUGCUAAAGGGCUUAAACCUUGAACCGUUUUAUCAUUUUGUUUGACCUAUGCCUUCUUAUGCCCAUUAUUUUUAUUCUUUGAAGAAAAUGGAAACCAAUUGUUUGAUUUGAAUUAUAUUUUUGGAUUUUUUUUUCAAUUUUGUCAUUAAAAAGAACGCUAUUAGACACUUCCAGUACGUUUUGGGAAAUUAUGUAAAUUAUCAUAACUUUUGACGGUGGAGUCGCAAAUGUUUAUUUGUUUCAUAUUUAAUUAUCCAACAUCAUUUGUCAGUUUUCAAUAACAAUUUUAGCUUUCAUGUAGAUAGUCCCUUUAAAAAAUCUCUCUCAACUGUCUUAAAGAUGAAAUUCUCAAUUCAAAACAAAACUUCGAUGAAACAAUAAAUGAACACAUUCUCAGGCCUAUCAGCUAGCGAUCAGAGUAAGCCGAAUGAUAGAGGGGAAAUAAAAAAUAAAAACAAAAUGCAUUAAACAUUGAAAACAGACAGAACGAUAUUUAGAAUAGCAGGAAUGAACAGAUAUUCAGUAUGAGAAAUAAACACAAAAACACUUAAUUAACAAAUGUUAGAUUAGUCGGAUAUAACAAAUCAACAAAAUGACGAAGCGAGACAAGCAACUGAAUAUAUAAUUGAUGUGGCCUAAGCUAAAAAUAAAUUCAUUUCCAGGAAACAAAAUAUUAAUAAAAACCAAAACCAGACGAAACAAAACAGAAAAGAUGAUAAAUAAUCAAGAGUUUCAUGUUUCUGUUAGUUAAGCUGAGGAACGUUCAACGAACAAUAAACUAGGAAAUUCAAUUCAAACAUACAGAGUAUGUUCCAUGAAACAUACCUUCGCAAGAACCCCGUGCCAAUAAUCAUUAUAAGAGAAUCGGUUUUAAGCCCUCAACCCGAAAAAAAUGGAUCCUAAAAUGCAUCACUUGUUAUCUCUAAGCGUAUACUGAAUAACAACUAAAUUUUCCCUCUCCUGUACACUAGAAAAUAAAACACAUGAUGAUGUUGAUGUUAACUCGUGUCUAAGACAACUACAAACCUCUCUUUCUCAAAUUGUACCAUAAACCGGAAUAUAAGAAACUGUUGACCCAUUCUCAAAUUCUAUAUCUCCUUAGAAUCGAAGCAAAAAUAAAAAUAUUACAGAUGCUGUAUUAACUGUUACUUGUUCUCAAAUCAAAACCCUAUAUGUAUCGCUGCUAUUUACUACUACUAUCCACUACUACUCACUAUACUAUUUCUAUGUUUCGAAAAACAAAAGAUUGAUAGAAAAAAAAUGGAAUGUGAAUGCGCAUUGGAGCGGGUCCAACGAUUUGGAAAACAGAGAGUUUUUGUACCUUUUUACUUCCCUAGGUGAAUAUCAAAACCAAUUAUCAAACUUCUGAAGUGCUGAAAACGAGACUUUUACUGAACCAAGCUCUAAUAUCAUUAUCAUAGAAGAAUGAGAAACUGCGUAUAAUGCGAUUGCUGGACAUUUGAUUUUGAUUGCGCGUGUGCAGGUCUAUUAAAAGUAUCAAAAUCCAAUUCUUUUUCCCAAUGUCCACUCUCCACUCUUUCCUCUAUCAAUUAUAAACGAACGCUAUAUGAAAACUGCUAAAUGGAAACAACAAGUUGAAUAUUGUUGAAACUAUAUGUAAAGUGCAAAUUAACAAAUCCGGCCACAUAGUUCCAGGCUCCGUGCUCAGAAUGAUGUCUGAGUGUACAACUGCCACUCAGGUUACCAACAAGCAAAGGAAGUUGAAGCGUAUCAUAGCAAAGCAUGUUCUACGAUCAACUAACAUGAUGCGGCCGUUGAUUAUCUGAGUGGCAACCAAUUUUUUGUGUUGAUAUACUGAUUUUAUACUGAAAGAAGUAAUGUUUUUUUUUAGGAAUCCUUAAUGUUUAUAAAAACGAGAUGAUUUUAUGAUGUACUAUCAUAAUUUUGUUUAGUUUAGUUUCUAUAUCAAAAAUAUUUCAAUAUAAUGAAUUUGUUUAGUAUAUUUAACUUAUCAAAAAAUGUGACUAAAUUAGGAAGCCGGAUUGCUUAGCCUCAGUAACAAAACUAUUGGUUAUGCACUUUUUAAAGAAACUUAUAUCUGUGAAAAUCUUUUAUGUAAGUGUAAAGAGGCAACACAUUGUUAACUGGUGAAGAUAGAAGAAAUAUAUUAUGACGAGAUGCA